AGUCGAGCGGUAAGGCCCUUUCGGGGGUACACCAGCGGCGAAGGGGUGAGUAACACGUGGGUGACCUGCCCUCAGCUCUGGGAUAAGCCUGGGAAACUGGGUCUAAUACUGGAUAUGACCUCAUGACGCAUGUUGUGGGGUGGAAAGCCUUGUGCGGCUGGGGAUGGGCCCGCGGCCUAUCAUCUUGUUGGGGGGGUGAUGGCCUACCAAGGCGACGACGGGUAGCCGGCCUGAGAGGGCGACCGGCCACACUGGGACUGAGACCCGGCCCAUACUCCUACGGGAGGCAGCAGUGGGGAAUCUUGCGCAAUGGGCAAAAGCCUGACGCACCGACGCCGCGAGAGGGAUGACGGCCUUCGGGUUGUACCCCUCUUUCACCUCCAACGAAGCGUAAGUGACGGUAGGGGAAAAAGAAGCACCGGCCAACUACGUGCCACCACCCCCGGUAAUACGUAGGGUGCGUGCGUUGACCGGAUUUGUUGGGCGAAAAUAGCUCGUAGGCGGUCUGUCUCGUCGGCUGUAAAACUCGGCGCUCAACUUCCGAGCUUGCAAUCAAACCCGGGGCAGGGCUAGAAUUCGGGCAGGGGAGACUGGAAAUUCCUGGUUGUAAGCGGUUGAAAAUGCGCAGAUUAUCAGGAGGAACACCCGGUGGCCGAAAGGCGGGGUCUCUGGGGCCCGAUACUGACGCCUGAGGAGCGAAAAGCGUGGGGAGCGAACAGGAUUAGAUACCCUGGUAGUCCACGCCGUAAACGUUGGGCGCUAGGUGUGGGAUCCCUUCCACGGGUUCCGUGCCGCAGCUAACGCAUUAAGCGCCCCGCCUGGGGAGUACGGCCGCAAGGCUAAAACUCAAAGGAAUUGACGGGGGCCCGCACAAGCGGCGGAGCAUGUGGAUUAAUUCGAUGCAACGCGAAGAACCUUACCUGGGUUUGACAUACACCGGAAAGCCGUGGAGACAUGGCCUCCGCAAGGCCGGUGUACAGGUGGUGCAUGGCUGUCGUCAGCUCGUGUCGUGAGAUGUUGGGUUAAGUCCCGCAACGAGCGCAACCCUCGUCCCAUGUUGCCAGCGGGUUAUGCCGGGGACUCAUGGGAGACUGCCGGGGUCAACUCGGAGGAAGGUGGGGACGACGUCAAGUCAUCAUGCCCCUUAUGUCCAGGGCUUCACACAUGCUACAAUGGCCGGUACAAAGGGCUGCUAAGCCGUAAGGUGGAGCGAAUCCCACAAAGCCGGUCUCAGUUCGGAUCGGGGUCUGCAACUCGACCCCGUGAAGUCGGAGUCGCUAGUAAUCGCAGAUCAGCAACGCUGCGGUGAAUACGUUCCCGGGCCUUGCACAC
rnacentral:rRNA from 1 species